rnacentral:rRNA from 1 species
GAUGAACGCUGGCGGCGUGCCUAAUACAUGCAAGUCGAGCGAACAGACGAGGAGCUUGCUCCUCUGACGUUAGCGGCGGACGGGUGAGUAACACGUGGAUAACCUACCUAUAAGACUGGGAUAACUUCGGGAAACCGGAGCUAAUACCGGAUAAUAUAUUGAACCGCAUGGUUCAAUAGUGAAAGACGGUUUUGCUGUCACUUAUAGAUGGAUCCGCGCCGCAUUAGCUAGUUGGUAAGGUAACGGCUUACCAAGGCAACGAUGCGUAGCCGACCUGAGAGGGGGAUCGGCCAACCUGGAACUGAGACACGGUCCAGACUCCUACGGGAGGCAGCAGUAGGGAAUCUUCCGCAAUGGGCGAAAGCUUGACGGAGCAACGCCGCGUGAGUGAUGAAGGUCUUCGGAUCGUAAAACUCUGUUAUUAGGGAAGAACAAAUGUGUAAGUAACUAUGCACGUCUUGACGGUACCUAAUCAGAAAGCCACGGCUAACUACGUG